rnacentral:rRNA from 1 species
CAACUCGCCUGCAUGAAGUCGGAAUUGCUAGUAAUCGCAGAUCAGAAUGCUGCGGUGAAUACGUUCCCGGGCCUUGUACACACCGCCCGUCACACCAUGGGAGUCGGUAACACCCGAAGUCGGUAGCCUAACCGUAAGGAGGGCGCCGCCGAAGGUGGGACUGGUAACUGGGGUGAAGUCGUAACAAGGUAGC